rnacentral:rRNA from 1 species
AUGGAGUCGCGUCGAGGGGGAGUUGGAGGGGUGGCACGAUCCUCGUCUGAGAUUAAGGCUGCAUGGUGUAAGCCCUACACGGGGAUCACGGACCCCCUCCUAGCUGAAGCGUUGGCUCUUCGAGAUGGAGCAGUUUUUGCAAGGCUUCGAGGAUAUGAUCAAGUCAUCUUGGAGACCGAUAGUCUAGAGAUGGUGAAUCUCUGGCACUCACGCCAUGAUCGUUCGGUGGUGGCGCCUAUUCUUACUGAGAUUGAGGAGCUUGCCUCUUUUAAGUCUUUUGUUAUUCAACAUGUUUCGAGAUCAGCUAAUUUUCAUGCUCACCUUUGUGCGAAGCAAGCUAGCACUUUGGAUGUAACAGAUUGUUGAUUAGACUCCACUCCUAGUUUUCUUGUAACUAGCCCCCUGGCUGAUUCGGUCGGGGUGGUUUCUGUUGAAUAA